rnacentral:rRNA from 1 species
GAUGAACGCUAGCGGGAGGCCUAACACAUGUAAGCCGAGCGGUAGAGUCUCUUCGGAGACUUGAGAGCGGCGCACGGGUGCGGAACACGUGUGCAACCUGCCUUUAUCUGGGGGAUAGCCUUUCGAAGGGAAGAUUAAUACCCCAUAAUAUACUGGAUGGCAUCAUCUGGUAUUGAAAACUCCGGUGGAUAGAGAUGGGCACGCGCAAGAUUAGAUAGUUGGUGAGGUAACGGCUCACCAAGUCAGCGAUCUUUAGGGGGCCUGAGAGGGUGAUCCCCCACACUGGUACUGAGACACGGACCAGACUCCUACGGGAGGCAGCAGUGAGGAAUAUUGGACAAUGGGUGAGAGCCUGAUCCAGCCAUCCCGCGUGAAGGACGACGGCCCUAUGGGUUGUAAACUUCUUUUGUAUAGGGAUAAACCUAGAUACGUGUAUCUAGCUGAAGGUACUAUACGAAUAAGCACCGGCUAACUCCGUG